CUAUGUCCUAUCAGGUAGUUGGUGAGGUAACGGCUCACCAAGCCAAUGACGGGUAUCUGGUUUGAGAGGAUGAUCAGACACACUGGAACUGAGACACGGUCCAGACUCCUACGGGAGGCAGCAGUGAGGAAUAUUGCACAAUGGAGGAAACUCUGAUGCAGCAACGCCGCGUGGAGGAUGACGCAUUUCGGUGUGUAAACUCCUUUUAAGAGGGAAGAUUAUGACGGUACCUCUUGAAUAAGCACCGGCUAACUCCGUGCCAGCAGCCGCGGUAAUACGGAGGGUGCAAGCGUUACUCGGAAUCACUGGGCGUAAAGGGUGCGUAGGCUGACUUUUAAGUCAGGCGUGAAAUCCAAUGGCUUAACCAUUGAACUGCGCUUGAAACUGGGAGUCUAGAGUUCAGAAGGGGCAGAUGGAAUUAGUGGUGUAGGGGUAAAAUCCGUAGAUAUCACUAGGAAUAUCAAAAGCGAAGGCGAUCUGCUGGGAUGAUACUGACGCUGAGGCACGAAAGCGUGGGGAGCAAACAGGAUUAGAUACCCCUGGUAGUCCACGCCCUAAACGAUGAAUGCUAGUCGUCGGGGAGCUCGUCUCUUCGGUGAUGCACUUAACAGAUUAAGCAUUCCCGCCUGGGGAGUACGGUCGCAAGAUUAAAACUCAAAGGAAUAGACGGGGACCCGCACAAGUGGUGGAGCAUGUGGUUUAAUUCGAAGAUACACGAAGAACCUUACCUGGCCUUGACAUGGUAGGAACCCUGUAGAGAUACGGGGGUGCUGGCUUGCUAGAGCCUACACACAGGUGCUGCACGGCUGUCGUCAGCUCGUGUCGUGAGAUGUUGGGUUAAGUCCCGCAACGAGCGCAACCCUCGUCCUUAGUUGCUAACGGUUCGGCCGAGCACUCUAAGGAGACUGCCUUCGCAAGGAGGAGGAAGGUGAGGACGACGUCAAGUCAUCAUGGCCCUUACGGCCAGGGCUACACACGUGCUACAAUGGGGCGUACAGAGAGCUGCGAUACCGCGAGGUGGAGCCAAUCUCUUAAAGCGUCUCUCAGUUCGGAUUGUUCUCUGCAACUCGAGAACAUGAAGCUGGAAUCACUAGUAAUCGCAGAUCAGCUAUGCUGCGGUGAAUACGUUCCCGGGUCUUGUACUCACCGCCCGUCACACCAUGGGAGUUGAUUUCACCCGAAAUCGGGAUGCCAA
rnacentral:rRNA from 1 species